UUCGGCAGCCAUAUCACCCUGUAGCCCAAGCCUUGUUGCCCACUGAAGCUAAGCAGGGCUGAGCUUGGUCAGUACCUGGAUGGGAUACCUCCUGGGAAAACUAGGUUGUUGCUGGAA
rnacentral:rRNA from 1 species